rnacentral:lncRNA from 1 species
CAGAGACCUAAGGAGAAGACUGACCAGCUUCUUCUGAAGACUUCUGCCCUCUAAAGACUAAGGCCUAAUUCCACUGGUUUCUUUGAAUUCCGUGGUCCUAAGUCCAUUUUCAGGUAAUCACAGGUCCUGGCUGAACAACUUCAGGGAUUACUUAUGGCAACUUAUCAAGAGUGCCUUACCUCCAGCAGCCAUUGUUGCUUUUCUUCUCACCUCAGCACUAAUGGGGAUCCUCUGCUGCUUCACCAUUCUUGUAGUUGAUCCAGUCCACUGAAGAACUAGAAGAUUCAACAGGGCAAGUGUGGUCUCUCCAGUUGGACUCCAAAAGAGUGGGGCAUUUGCUAUCUGCUUAAAAUGAGGAAGUAUCUAUCAGUUGAAAUUAAAUCGUCUUCCAACUUGAAUCAUCCUUUGCCUUCAUUUUCUCCUUCAAAAGUUGCAAUUUUAAAAUGUGAAUAUCCUUAUUACUGUUUUGGUUAUAAUAGUAAUACAUAUUUAUUGCAAAAAAAAUUUGAGAAAUACAGAGA